rnacentral:lncRNA from 1 species
AUUCAUUCCUUCAUUCAAAUACGUUUUGUGUCAGCUUUAGGUCAAGUACCAUUCUAAAGACUGGAAAGACCACUAUAUAGAAUCUAGACAAAAAUUUCUGCUCUUACAGACGUUAUAUUUUAGAGAUAUAAGAGAUAAUUAGCAGAAAUAAUUAAUAGAACAUGCUAGAUGGUGAUAUGAAUAAUAGAUGAAUAAACCAUGAAAGAAUAGAAAUGGGAAAGUUUAUUAGGUAAAAUAAGAGUUUUCCAUCUUAUAUAAU